CCUACGGGGCGCAGCAGUGAGGAAUAUUGGUCAAUGGACGGAAGUCUGAACCAGCCAUGCCGCGUGCAGGAAGACGGCUCUAUGAGUUGUAAACUGCUUUUGUACAAGGGUAAACCUGAAUACGUGUAUUCAGCUGAAAGUACUGUACGAAUAAGGAUCGGCUAACUCCGUGCCAGCAGCCGCGGUAAUACGGAGGGUGCAAGCGUUGUCCGGAAUCAUUGGGCGUAAAGAGUUCGUAGGUGGCAUAUUAAGUCUGGUGUUAAAUGCAGAAGCUCAACUUCUGUUCGGCACUGGAUACUGGUAAGCUGGAAUGCGGUAGAGGUAAAGGGAAUUCCUGGUGUAGCGGUGAAAUGCGUAGAUAUCAGGAGGAACAUCGGUGGCGUAAGCGCUUUACUGGGCCGUAAUUGACACUGAGGAACGAAAGCCGGGGUAGCAAAUGGGAUUAGAUACCCGAGUAGUC
rnacentral:rRNA from 1 species